rnacentral:lncRNA from 1 species
UGAUAAAAUCGCGAUGGUAUGAUGGUGAAAUAUAGAUGUAAUAUCGCAUUUUCAUCACCGUACCAUCGCGUUUUCACCAUCACACCAUCGUGCCAUCGCGUUCUGCUUAGUGACAUUGGAGAGUGUGUGUGCUCUAAUGUGUUGAACUUGGGAAAAUAUUUCUGUCAACUGUUCAUGCGUAAGAUUGAUCACAUUUAUCCCGUCAAGUAGACAUCGUACAAGAGCCUUUUACGCUAUCGAAUAUUGCCGGAAGUAGAACAUUUAUGUCAACACCGGUUUUGUUAUUCACGUGAAAACUGCCGAAAACUGAGAGGUUAUCAACAAAAUGUCAAUUUGCGAGUAACAUAAGGAUAUUACAUGCAUUUAAACGUUUAGUAUAAUAUUUAUGGAUUAUUGAAUACAGUAUGGAAGUAAACUGUUACGCUAUAAAUGGAAACUAUGAAAGAAAAGUCGAUAAGAAAAUAUUGCCUUUCUACAUUCAUUUUCAUUGUCGCUUUUAAAGUUGCUCAGAUAUAUUCUUUCCAUUUAUUUGUUAUUUCUUGAUUUUUGUUUAUAGAUACAUAUUCCUAUAGCAAAUUAUUGUGUGAAAUUACAGCUUAUUUAGAGCAUCUGCGAUUAACUGGGCUUAUGUUGAACGACUUUCCUUUCAGAGUGACCCUUAACCUUAUUAUAGCUUAUAGUCUGUUCUAUGUAUUUUAGCUGUAUUCAAAACAGGAAGUAAUCGAGUUAAAACGAAUUUUCAUAAUAAACUAUUGCAAAUUGUAGGAAUAGAACAACAUUAUAUAUUUAUUAUAAGAGUAUUGAAAUAUAUUAAUUACUCCAUUUCAGACAGAAGUACAAGCCAACAAUGACACAUUUAAAGUUGCUGCAGAAGCAGGGCCAGUCAAAGCAAAAUAGAGCCCUACAUGUCUAACACAAAUAAAAGAAGGGGAAGAUGUUCUAAUGAUACAGUGAUGUACAUAUGAUGAUUUUAAGUUUACCAGGUGAAGUGUAGAAUGUUGUGUGAAUUCGUAUGAUGCCAGUGUUGAUGUGUAUGAUUUAAUUAAACACAGAUAUUGAUAUCUUCAGAUAUGCCUGUGAAAUCUUCAUUGUCACCCUUCAGCUAUGCUUCAAGAUCAGUGUCUGCAACUUGCACAGCUCACUAUAGAGGAGCCUUCCAUUGGCUUUACUUUUCGUUGUGCCCGUUUGCGGAAGUGAAGACAUAGUUGUCCAAAUUGUAUGCGUGCGUCUGUCCAGAUUUGUUUGCCUGGACUAUAUUAUUGAUUAGUCUUAACAAAACUUUGCAGGUUAAUUCCCUUAAGUUCCUUGUCAACUUUGAAAGUUGCAUGAUUACUUUAGCAACACUACAGUAUGUCACCAUUGUACUAGUCAAAAGUUUCAUAUGUCAGAAUUUUAUCAAGUCAUUACAAGCUACAGGUAGGCAUUGUAACUGAAAAUACAAACUUCAAGUAGGAGCUAUCCAUAUUAUAUGUAAUACUAUGUGAAGUUAACUGCAUCAGAAUACAAGGACUGAAAAAAUUAUUAAAAUAUCAUUUCCUGAAAAAGAGUUAUUUGAGCUGAAAAAAAAAUGAUCCCGGAUGAAAUAUUUGGAAAAAAUGGGGACAACUCCGCAAAGACUUUAUGAUAGGCUUAGGUGACAAUUGACCUAGUACCUCAUCCAAACUACCCACUGUUUACGUCUAACCAUGAAAAAAGCAUGCACAUUUGCCACAUGGAUUAGCAACCUCAAUACAAAACUAUGUAAAGAUCAAAUAAUUGAUUGCCCUGGGGGAAAAGUAGAACAUUUUUGUGGUGA